rnacentral:rRNA from 1 species
GAUGAACGCUAGCUACAGGCUUAACACAUGCAAGUCGAGGGGCAGCAUGUCGGUUGCUUGCAACCGAUGAUGGCGACCGGCGCACGGGUGAGUAACGCGUAUCCAACCUACCCUUGUCCAUCGGAUAACCCGUCGAAAGGCGGCCUAACACGAUAUGCGGUUCUCAGCAGGCAUCUAACGAGAACGAAAUGUGAAGGAGAAGGAUGGGGAUGCGUCUGAUUAGCUUGUUGGCGGGGUAACGGCCCACCAAGGCGACGAUCAGUAGGGGUUCUGAGAGGAAGGUCCCCCACAUUGGAACUGAGACACGGUCCAAACUCCUACGGGAGGCAGCAGUGAGGAAUAUUGGUCAAUGGACGGGAGUCUGAACCAGCCAAGUAGCGUGCAGGACGACGGCCCUAUGGGUUGUAAACUGCUUUUAUAGGGGGAUAAAGUGUGCCACGUGUGGCAUAUUGCAGGUACCCUAUGAAUAAGGACCGGCUAAUUCCGUGCCAGCAGCCGCGGUAAUACGGAAGGUCCGGGCGUUAUCCGGAUUUAUUGGGUUUAAAGGGAGCGUAGGCCGUCUUAUAAGCGUGUUGUGAAAUGUCGGGGCUCAACCUGGGCAUUGCAGCGCGAACUGUGAGACUUGAGUGCGCAGGAAGUAGGCGGAAUUCGUCGUGUAGCGGUGAAAUGCUUAGAUAUGAUGAAGAACUCCGAUUGCGAAGGCAGCCUGCUGUAGCGCAACUGACGCUGAAGCUCGAAAGCGUGGGUAUCGAACAGG